AGAACGAACGCUGGCGGCAUGCCUAAUACAUGCAAGUCGAACGAACACUUCGGUGUUAGUGGCGCACGGGUGCGUAACGCGUGGGAACCUGCCCUUGGGUUCGGAAUAACAGUUGGAAACGACUGCUAAUACCGGAUGAUAUCGAAAGAUCAAAGAUUUAUCGCCCAGGGAUGAGCCCGCGUAGGAUUAGCUAGUUGGUGAGGUAAGGCUCACCGAAGGCGACGAUCCUUAGCUGGUCUGAGAGGAUCGAUCACGCCACGACUGGGACUGAGACACGGCCCAGACCUCCGUACGGGAGCGAGCGAAGGUAGGGAAUAGUUACGGAAC
rnacentral:rRNA from 1 species